AAAGAAAGAAAGAAAGAAAGAAAGAAAGAAAGAAAGAAAGAAAGAAAGCAAACAAAGGAAGGAAGGAAGGAAGGAAGGAAGGAAGGAAGGAAGGAAGGAAGGAAGGAAGGAAGGAAAGAGGGCAUUGCUUCAAAUCUGUUGGAGAUAUGUAAUUUAAAAAUCUCAUUGGAUAUUUCUAAUACACUACUAAUGAUACCUUAGAAACUGGCUCAAUGAUAGAGGGAUUUCUAAGCAGUGUAAUUUCUACAUUCGAUGAACAGCUCCAUGAAUAUGCAAUAUAAAGAAUGAUUGCAGCUAACAUUGUUUCUAAUAAGGCUUAUUCCAAUCUCUGGGUUGCUUUUAAUAAUCACAUAGUCAUUCAGAAGAUUUGUUCUCCUGCUCCAUUUUGAAGGCUGUUCUGUGCUUCAUAAAAUCAGUUCAUAUAAAACCACUGAGUUGAUUUUUCAUUUUGCCUUUUCUGGAUACCUAGGGAUACAAUUGCAACUUGUCAUUUAUUCUAUAUGCAUUUUUGAAAGAUAACAUUUUUUUGUAUUUUGGGGCUGUUGUAAAUAAAAUGCUGUAAUUACAUAGCUUAUAAACAACAAACAACUGUCACAUCCCAACCUAGAGGCUGAGAAGGCCAAGUAGAGCCAGCAGAGGUGGGUUCUAGUGUGAGCACACACUUCCUGCCUCACAGAUGAUGGUCUUGCUGUGCUUUCUCCUGUCAGAUGGGCAAAGGAUGUUCUUGGAGGCCUCUUUUAUGAGCACAAUAAGCCAAACCUGAGAGUCAGAGCCCUCAAUGUGAGCCCUUCACACAGGCUCCGCCACCACACACCCCCGUCUUGUGACUAAAUCUCAACAUAAUGGACUGGGAGAGUGGAUGGCACAAGGGUUCUGACUGUCACACCUGGGUGCGUGUCAUUCAAUAAGAGCAAUGAUGACUUGUUCCACCUAGAAAGUGCUCUGAAUAGAGAGGCAUCUCAAUGCAAUUUCUUCACCAUUACUCACUCAUCUUUUUGUGAUAUCACUUUCCUUUAUUAUCCAGAAACAUAAGUGGAGGAGGGAGAGCUACAGGGCAUGGAUCCACAGAAGAGGAAGUAGGAUAUCACUGUGAUAUAUUCUUUGUUUGUUUGUUUGUUUGUUUGUUUGUUUGUUUGAACUGAGUGUCAGAGAUCCUAGCAGGGUUCUACUCUAUGGACUGGAUGCCUCUUCUGUGAGGUCUUGAAUUCAUGGAAGUGAUUAAAAUCUGAUUUGGAUAGAUUAGCAUAUCUCAGAGAUUUCUAAUUAACUGAGAUUCUCUUCCCCUUGUCUUUUUUUCUCCCUCUUUCUUUUCAUUUUCAUUUUCAUUUUUUUUCUUGCCUUGAUUUUUGUUUUUAUUAAGUCAUUUUUUUUCUUUGUUAGGCAGAAUCUCACAUCAUAACCCCAAAUGACCUGUUACUCACCAUGUGGCCCAGCUGUCUUCAAACUCACCAGCCUCCUGCCUUAGCCUUCUAAAUGCUUGGAUUACAGGCAUGACCCACCAUAACUGGCUUUGUUUUAGUUUCAGAGAAGAUGAAACUGAUGUGCGUCAAAAAGUUAUGGAGGCUGGGAAGACCUAGAAUGUGGCAUCACUAUUUGCUGAAAUUUUUAAUAUAAUGCCUCUUAGCCUGGUUUGGAGAAAACGUCACAGAGAGGCACCAUUUGUUGUGGUUUUACAUGAAAAUUUUCUGACCCUGAACCUGGUUUGAUGGAAAUCAUUUGCUGAGGUUAUUUAGAAAAUUGUUACCUCAAAAAUGACCUAGGGGUCCUUAGAAUAAUAACACACAGAAGAAUAGCCUCAUUUUUCUGUUGGGCCCAGGAAACCAUGCCGAUUACCGACCGAGCUCUCAAUGGAAAAAUGCAGUCGGCGUGAACCACGCACGAACACAGCAGAGAAAGAAGAAAACACACACCACGAGGAACCCUAAUAGGACAAUACAUUAUAAGCCUCAUGGUACAUCCACUUGGUGUGCUGGGAGAGUCAGGAUGAGGACCUGAGAAGAACAGCAGCUUGAACCUGACUUCAUUUAACAGCCCACUGCCCUCUUGCCAAGAACCCAUCACAGACCUUCCCAGAAGAGAGGGAUGAGCCUCACCUAUGAAUAAGUCCUCAGAAACUCAAAUUUGAUUCUAAUGGAUUGUUUUCUCAGAAAGACUGAGCAUGUCCCCCCACAUCUCUGUCAUUUCCCACAGUAGUAACCUCUGCAGAUGCCACAUAGAAAACAAAACAAAACAAAAAAACAUGAGGUUGGUGGGCAGAUAGGCAGGGUAUAAACAAACAGCCUUGUAACCCAGAAGCUGUGUGAUAUACAGUAAACUUCACAACACUGAAAAGAUGUCCUAUCUGUUAAAAUGGGGUAAUAACAACUACCCGAAUGUUUAGGAAUAGAACUUCAAUAAAUGAUACAUUUUAUAGUACAGCAGACCAUCCUGUAAAGGUUUCAUCCUUCACUGUGGUGAUAAAUAUCCCAAACCACAUUGAAAAGCAUUGCAUCUACAUUUAUCUACACUGUAACUGUACUGUAAAUCAUGGGGGAGGGGAGAAUCAUAAAAACACCACCUGUCACCGUGUCAUUAAAGCAAGUUGGAAGUGAUACUUACAGAAACACAGCAAGAGCACCCCCAGUCACACAGUUCAAUCUCUUAGCAAGCGUUUUCUUUCUAGCCCAGUGGUUCUCAGUUUGGAAUUUUUGGCACUGCCUAGAGAUAGUUUUGUUGUUAAAACUGAGAAAAGAGCCGGGCGUGGUGGCACACGCCUUUAAUCCCAGCACUCAGGAGGCAGAGGCAGG
rnacentral:lncRNA from 1 species